AUUGAACGCUGGCGGCAGGCCUAACACAUGCAAGUCGAACGGUAACAGGAAGCAGCUUGCUGCUUCGCUGACGAGUGGCGGACGGGUGAGUAAUGUCUGGGAAGCUGCCUGAUGGAGGGGGAUAACUACUGGAAACGGUAGUUAAUACCGCAUAAUGUCGCAAGACCAAAGAGGGGGACCUUCGGGCCUCUUGCCAUCGGAUGUGCCCAGAUGGGAUUAGCUUGUUGGUGGGGUAACGGCUCACCAAGGCGACGAUCCCUAGCUGGUCUGAGAGGAUGACCAGCCACACUGGAACUGAGACACGGUCCAGACUCCUACGGGAGGCAGCAGUGGGGAAUAUUGCACAAUGGGCGCAAGCCUGAUGCAGCCAUGCCGCGUGUAUGAAGAAGGCCUUCGGGUUGUAAAGUACUUUCAGCGGGGAGGAAGGGAGUAAAGUUAAUACCUUUGCUCAUUGACGUUACCCGCAGAAGAAGCACCGGCUAACUCCGUG
rnacentral:rRNA from 1 species